CCUACGGGAGGCAGCAGUGGGGAAUAUUGCACAAUGGGGGAAACCCUGAUGCAGCGACGCCGCGUGAGUGAAGAAGUAUUUCGGUACGUAAAGCUCUAUCAGCAGGGAAGAAAAUGACGGUACCUGACUAAGAAGCCCCGGAUAACUACGUGCCAGCAGCCGCGGUAAUACGUAGGGGGAAAGCUUUAUCCGGAUUUACUGGGUGUAAAGGGAGCGUAGACGGCAGCGCAAGUCUGGAGUGAAAUCCCAUGGCUUAACCAUGGAACUGCUUUGGAAACUGUGCAGCUAGAGUGCAGGAGAGGUAAGCGGAAUUCCUAGUGUAGCGGUGAAAUGCGUAGAUAUUAGGAGGAACACCAGUGGCGAAGGCGGCUUACUGGACUGUAACUGACGUUGAGGCUCGAAAGCGUGGGGAGCAAACAGGAUUAGAUACCCUUGUAGUC
rnacentral:rRNA from 1 species